GACGAACGCUGGCGGCGUGCUUAACACAUGCAAGUCGAACGGAAAGGCCCUGCUUUUGUGGGGUGCUCGAAUGGCGAACGGGUGAGUAGCACGUGAGUAACCUGCCCUUGACUUUGGGAUAACUUCAGGAAACUGGGGCUAAUACCGGAUAGGAGCUCCUGCUGCAUGGUGGGGGUUGGAAAGUUUCGGCGGUUGGGGAUGGACUCGCGGCUUAUCAGCUUGUUGGUGGGGUAGUGGCUUACCGAGGCUUUGACGGGUAGCCGGCCUGAGAGGGUGACCGGCCACAUUGGGACUGAGAUACGGCCCAGACUCCUACGGGAGGCAGCAGUGGGGAAUAUUGCACAAUGGGCGGAAGCCUGAUGCAGCAACGCCGCGUGCGGGAUGACGGCCUUCGGGUUGUAAACCGCUUUCGCCUGUGACGAAGCGUGAGUGACGGUAAUGGGUAAAGAAGCACCGGCUAACUACGUG
rnacentral:rRNA from 1 species